UGGAGCUAAUGGGCCGUAGGGCAGGUUUGAGUCGUGCCACCCUGGAGCAGAAGGUGGAGGGUAGGGAUAAGGGGGUGGAGCACCUGAUUCCAAUCUUGCCACAGGGAAGAAGAGUCUGUGAAGAAGUGCGUGAUGACUGGUGGAGAGAAACUAGGAGAAAAGCACAGGAUGUAGAGGUCUAUUCGGCAUAAUCUUCUCCCUCAUUUUCAUCUUCACCAUCAACAGAGAGAGCAGCAUACUUGCUUGCAGAACUGAACUUCUGUAACACAACGAGAGUGACAGGAUAAUGAAGGCCCUGAAUUAUCACAUCAAAACCCAAGACACAGGAUACUGAUCCUUUGGCAAUGGGGGAUGACAGUCAGAUGACACCCACUUGCUUGCUCAUCAGCAUUGUCCAUUGGAGAGGAGCUAGGGAAGAGGGUCAGAGGCACAUGCGAUCUUACUAUAGUCUCAUACCACCUCUACACCUUGCAGAAGGGAUGAGAACAAAGGAAGACAGAAACCAGGAAAAAGCUAAACUUCUUUCGC
ensembl:lncRNA TNS2-AS1 TNS2 antisense RNA 1